GCUAUCUGCAGUCGACGGCAGCACGUUCUCCGCAAGGAGAAUGGUGGCGAGUGGCGCACGGGUGCGUAACACGUAUGCAAUCUACCUUUAACUGGGGAAUAACCCCUCGAAAGAGGGGCUAAUACCGCAUAAAACUUUGAUGGGACAUCCCAAUGAAGUCAAACCUACGGGGGUUAAAGAUGAGCAUGCGUCCGAUUAGCUAGUUGGCGGGGUAACGGCCCACCAAGGCGACGAUCGGUAGGGGAUCUGAGAGGAUGAUCCCCCACACUGGUACUGAGACACGGACCAGACUCCUACGGGAGGCAGCAGUAAGGAAUAUUGGACAAUGGGCGCAAGCCUGAUCCAGCCAUGCCGCGUGCAGGAUGAAAGUGCUCUGCACUGUAAACUGCUUUUACUUGGGAAAAAACCCCUGGUUUCCACCGGGGCUGAUUGUACCAAGAGAAUAAGGGACGGCUAACUUCGUGCCAGCAGCCGCGGUAAUACGAAGGUCCCAAGCGUUAUCCGGAUUUAUUGGGUUUAAAGGGUGCGUAGGCGGGCUAUUAAGUCAGUGGUGAAAGCCCCAAGCUUAACUUGGGAACUGCCAUUGAUACUGAUGGUCUUGAGUACAUUUGAGGUGGGCGGAAUGUGUCAUGUAGCGGUGAAAUGCUUAGAUAUGACACAGAACACCGAUUGCGAAGGCAGCUCACUAAACUGUAACUGACGCUGAGGCACGAAAGCGUGGGGAGCAAACAGGAUUAGAUACCCUGGUAGUCCACGCCCCUAAACGAUGAUCACUCGAUGUGUGCGAUAUACUGUACGCGUCUGAGCGAAAGCAUUUAAGUGAUCCACCUGGGGAAGUACGACCGCAAGGU
rnacentral:rRNA from 1 species